GGUGCUCAAUCACUGUUUCAGAUUGUGACUUAGCAUUUCCACUAUGGUAAGAAAUUACACAAAGAAAUUUCUAUGAGAUUUCACCUGGGUCUUGCAUCCCCAGUGUAUGUCUAAACGUAAAACAUGAAGAGGCGUAAUUGCCACUUAUGUUUUCUAAUAUUCUGCUGAGAGACCAUAAAGCAAGAACUAUCAGCAAAGCAUACAAAUUCUCUGUCAUUACUAAUGCCAGUAAAAAUGCCUUUUUUUUUUUUUUAAUGACUUUGCUAGAAUCAAAGUGAAGUUUUGACUGUUCAGUAGCUGUGAACAGCUAGCAUCCAAACUGACUCCGUGCUCAGAGAACUGAUACAAAUCUAGCAAAAGAAUUCUUGAUUGGAUAACCCUAAUGAAGCAGAUGCUUUCUCCUUCCACAUACUCUUGCACUGGCUACAUGGCACUGGUGGAUCACUAACAGAAACAAGCUGGAGAAUUUACAGGUUCCCUUACAAGGCGAUGUCUAAGCACCACACAGUCGUCCGCUCACCCUUCCCACCCCACUCCCAAUGUGGGGGAGAGAAAAAGGAAAAAAAACAAAGCAGCAAAGUAAAACUCGUGGGUUGUGAUACAGGGAAGAAUGAAAAGAAAAUGAAGACUGGGUACGAACCUGAAGACUGAAGACGAACCUCUGCUGUCCUGUGCCUUGAACAUCAAUGCUGUUGCAAAGAAGUGAAAGGUUUCCUGAUGCAGUCGCAUUUUCCAGGGAAAAGGAAUCAAAACAGCAGAAAAUAGAUCCAAGACAGGCCACAGCAGACACAGCCAAGAAAAGAGCGUCUUGUUAUGUACCUCUGCUGGACAAGAAGAUGAAGGCCUUCUCAGCUCAUGCAGGAGACAUUAUAUCACCAAAGCCAAGCACAAAGACUUUUACUACUCUUACUUAUAGUUGGUUUCAAUAAGUCUGUUGUUAGGAGCAACUUUUCAAAGGUCCUCCUCAUGGAUAUGUUGCUCAUUCUUCCUCCUCAGCUUUGUUCUGAAACAAACAAAAGGUGUAAUUAUCCACCCACAAUAGACCAGUGAAGUCUUCAUCCCCAAAGAAAACACAGAUGAAGUAUUCAUGCUUCUCCUUUUUCUACUCCAAGAGAGGUAUUCUUAGACUUCAAACUACUGCUAUGGGCCAUGCUGCAUCUCACUCUUGUCUGUAUGAGCUACAGUCAUAGAUGCUAUAGUCUGGAUUUUUCACAACACUGACACCAAAUACCAUCACAUCACCAGCAACAUCAUAAGCAGUGAUACCUCCCUCUCUCCCUUACAUUACCAUGCCAGACUCACAUCACGGGUGGAGUGAUUCCCCAAAAACAAGGUAAAGUCACCCUCCUUCUGGGCUCUCCAUUAAUAGCACAAGGUGCUCCUUCACCCCACCUAACUCAUGAGAUGCACACUGUUAUCAUAGAGCACUGUUUCCCUGGCCAGGGCACACAGAGUUCCAGAAAAUCUUCAUGCAUAUACUGAUUUUCUUCUGAAAGAAAAUUCACAAUUUCAUACCAGGAGAGAAAAAUCAAGUAUUCAUAGCAAAACAAGUUUUACCUGAUCAUUUUCUUCUUCCACAGGCUAGCUAACCUUGAUGACAGCAGGGGCACUGGGCGGGUUUAUUGAUUGCAAGAGUAACAGAGAUCAUGGUAUGUGACACAACUUAAACCACUAAAUACAAAGUCAAUUGAAAUGAUCAGCAUUGUAACACACUGUAAAGGGUGAAUUUUUAUAUUAAUAAGCAAGGAAAAUAUUCCUCUGACCAUGCAAAUUGCUACUUGGGAAAAGGCCUGGUUAAUUAGGAACUAUUAAUAUACACAAAAUCACAGAAUCAUAAAAUAUCAUACAUCUAAAAGCAUUAUCCAGAUGCUUCUUGAACUCCAGUAAGCUUGUCUGAGGGGAAUCUGUUCCAGUGUCCAACUACUUUCAGUGAAGAACCUUUUCCAGAUAUCCAUCCUGAACCUUCUCUUUUCUAGCUUCAUGCCAUUCCCUAGGGUUCUAUAACUGGUCAGCAGAGAAAGGAGAUCAGUACCUGUCCUUCCACACUCCAUCAUGAGGAAGCUGUAGUCCGCAAUGAGGUCUUCCCUCAGUCUCUAGGCUGAAUAAACCAAGGGACUUCAGCCACUCCUCACGUGUCCUUCCCUCCAAACCCUUCACUAUAUUUGUAACCCUCCUUUGGACACUCUCUAAUAGUUUUAUGUUCUUUUUUGUACUGUGGUGCCCAAAACUGCUCACAGUACUCAAGGUGAGGCCACACCAGUGCAAUGUAGCAUGGGACAAUCACUUCCUUUGACGGGCUGGCAGUGCUAUACUUGAUGCACCUCAGGAGAUCGUUGGCUUUCCUGGAUAUCUGGGCACGCAACUGACUCAUGGUCAACUUGCUGCUGACCAAGACCCCCAGAUUCCUUUCAGCAGGGUUGCCUUCCAGUGUCUCAUCCCUCAGUCUGUAUGUAUAGCCAGGGUUGCCCCUUCCCAGGUAGAGAAUCUGGCACUUACUCGUUACACUUCGUACAAUUGGUGAUUGCCCAGUUCUCAAAUUAGUCUGGAUGUCUCUUCAAGGCCUCUCCACUCUCAAUGGUAUCAACAGCUCCUCCCAAUUUAGUAUUAUCAGUAAACUUGCUCAAAACACCUUCCAGUCUUACAUUCAAGUAAUUUAUGAAAACAUUAAAUGGAAAACAUUGGCUGUGACCAAUGACUGCAUUGUCCUUGAGGUGUUUUUCAGUAAAUCCUAGCAUAAUUUUCUCCAUAAAUUUACCGUGUACUGAAGUGAGACUGACUGGCCUUUAAUUACCAGGGUCUUCUUUCUUGCCCAUCUUUAAAACUGGAACAGUGGUUGCCAGUUUCCAGACAGCUGUGAUCUCUCCAGCUUGAUUAUUGAAAAAUAAUUGAGGGAGGUUUCACAAUGGUAUCAGCCAGUUUUCUGAGUACCCUGGGAUAAGUAUGAAUACUCAUCAGGUCCCAUGCAUCCAGGUGGUGCAGCAAAUUCCACACAAUUUCUGGUUUGGCUGGGAGCUGAUAGUCACGUCAGUCACAGUCUUCUAACUCAGGGCACCUGGAGUGCCAGAGCACGUCAUGAGGGUUAAAUGUCUCUGCUUUGUCUAUGUCCCUAUUUGCAAGAUGACCAUUUUCAACAGGUAAUGAACCCAUAUUCUCUCUUCUCCUUCUUUUGUUGUUAACGUAUUAAAAAAAAAAAAAUCCCUUUUUAUUAUCCCACACUACAUUGACCAGCUUCAACUCUAACUGAGCCUUGGCCACACAGAUUUUCUCUCUACAAAGGCAAACAGCAUCCCAUUAGUCUUCCCAUAUUGCCUGACCUUACUUCCAGUGAUAAUAAAAUUUCUUUUCUGCCUAAACUCUAGAAGAUCCAUGUUCAGUCAAAGCCAGCCUUCUGCCCCAUCUGCUUGACUUCCAACGUUUUGGGAUUGCCUGCUUGUGUGCUCUCAGGAGGUGGUACUGAAAAAGUGACUUAAAAAAAGAAUCCAUAAGCAGGCAGAUUGCCUGCUCUGUUCAGAGAUAAACAUUCCAGUUACACUGGCUUAUCAUGUCUGGGGAAUGGAAUAUGAUUUUUUUCCCCUUUAAAAGAGCAAGAAAAUCCUAUGCAAAUGGUCUAGAUCUAUAUUUUCUGCCCAUCUUUUGCAUUAUUAUUAGUACAUCUGAAGAAUAAGUAGCUUGCAGUAGUUAUACAGGACUGAUUGUCAUUUUAUCUUUUCACAGAAUUAUUGCAUGUUAGUGGAGUUAAGUUAGACCAGAGGAAGACCUGACUAUUCUCAAUGACCUUGCUCUUGCACUGUGGCUGAAAUAUUUUGCUAACAUCAUGGACGUGGUUACAGCAGAUUAGAUCUUUUUGCCUUGUUUUGUUUGUUUGUUUGUUUGUUUGUUUUGUUUUUGUUUUUGUUUUUUUUUUCCAAUGUUCCAGUUGAUUUAUUCCGAAUUUGCACCUAGGUUUAAGACUGGACUUGAUACAUAACUGUGAGUUACAGAUGAGAGUCAGCUUUCGUGGGAGUAACCCUAAUAAUGUCUGCACUGUCUGAGAUCAAGGGGCAGAAAUGACCACAACCAGGCUCUCAAAGAAAAACAUGAGCAGAACUGAUACAACACUUUCCAUCACUCUUCUACAGCUUCUUUACAUCUGCCUUUAAUAGUCAGAUCAGUUAUCCCCAGGGCACUGGGAUGGUACGCAGAAUACACUCCCAGUGAUUCAGGUGGAGACAGAGAGCUCCUCCUCCAUCUGAACUGUCACAAGUCCAUGGGACCAGACAGACUCCAUCCUAGGGUGCUGAGAGAGUUGGCAGAGGUGAUUGCUGAGCUGCUUUCUGCCAUCUACCAGCGCUCCUGGUUAUCUGGAGAGGUCCCAGAGGAUCGGAGGCUUUCUGAUGUAGAUGGGAAUCACAAGAAGGGCUGUAAGGAGGAUCCAGGGAACUACAGGCCUGUUAGCCUGACCUCGGUACCAGGGAAAGUUAUGGAGCAAAUCAUCUUGGGUGAGAACACACGGCACGUGGCGUACAGGGAAUCAGGCCCAGCCAGCACAGGUUCAUGAAAGGUAGCUUGUGCUUGACCAACCUCAUCUCCUUCUAUGACCAGGUGACCAGACUGGUAGACAAGGGAAAGGCUGUUGAUGUAGUCUACCUUGACUUCAGCAGCACCAUUGACAUCGUUUCUCACAGUAUUCUCCUGGGGAAACUGGCUGCCCGUGGCCUAGACAGGUAUACCCUUCUUUGGGUAAGGAACUGGCAAGAGGGCCAUACCCAGUGGGUAGUAGUUAACGGAGUUAAGUCCAGCUGGCGACCCAUUACAAGUGGUGUCCCCCAGGGGUUGGUACUGGGGCCCAUCUUAUUUAAUAGCUUUAUUGAUGACCUAGAUGAGGGGAUUGAGUGUAUCCUCGUUAAGUUUGCAGAUAAUAACAAGUAGGGAAGCAGUAUCACUCAGCCUGAGGGCAGGGAGGCCCUUCAGAGGGAUCUAGAUAAACUGGAUCGCUGGGCUGAGGUGAAUGGGAUGAGGUUCAACAAGGCCAAGUGCUGGGUUCUGCACUUUGGCCACAAUAACCCCAUAUAACACUUGG